CCGGAUACAGGUGGUGCAUGGUUGUCGUCAGCUCGUGUCGUGAGAUGUUGGGUUAAGUCCCGCAACGAGCGCAACCCUUGUCUUCAGUUACCAUCAUUCAGUUGGGGACUCUGGAGAGACUGCCGGUGACAAACCGGAGGAAGGUGGGGAUGACGUCAAAUCAUCAUGCCCCUUAUGACCUGGGCUACACACGUACUACAAUGGCGUAUACAACGGGAAGCGAAAUGGUGACAUGGAGCAAAUCUCACAAAGUACGUCUCAGUUCGGAUUGAAGUCUGCAACUCGACUUCAUGAAGUCGGAAUCGCUAGUAAUCGCGGAUCAGCAUGCCGCGGUGAAUACGUUCUCGGGCCUU
rnacentral:rRNA from 1 species